CAGUAGCCACGGGAAUACGUAGGUGGCAAGCGUUGUCCGGAAUUAUUGGGCGUAAAGCGCGCGCAGGUGGCUUAAUAAGUCUGAUGUGAAAGCCCACGGCUCAACCGUGGAGGGUCAUUGGAAACUGUUAAACUUGAGUGCAGGAGAGAAAAGUGGAAUUCCUAGUGUAGCGGUGAAAUGCGUAGAGAUUAGGAGGAACACCAGUGGCGAAGGCGGCUUUUUGGCCUGUAACUGACACUGAGGCGCGAAAGCGUGGGGAGCAAACAGGAUUAGAUACCCCCGUAGUCCCUGUCUCUUAUAC
rnacentral:rRNA from 1 species